rnacentral:rRNA from 1 species
GACGAACGCUGGCGGCGUGCUUAACACAUGCAAGUCGAACGGAAAGGCCCUGCUUUUGUGGGGUGCUCGAGUGGCGAACGGGUGAGUAACACGUGAGUAACCUGCCCUUGACUUUGGGAUAACUUCAGGAAACUGGGGCUCAUACCGGAUAGGAGCUCCUGCUGCAUGGUGGGGGUUGGUAAUUUUCGGCGGUUGGGGAUGUACUCGCUGGUUAUCAUCUUUUUGGUGGGGUAGUGGCUUACCAAGGUUUUGACGGGUAGCGGGGCUGGGAGGGUGACCGGGCACAAUGGGACUGAGAUAAGGCACAGACGAGAACGGGAGGCAGGAGAGGGGAAGAGAGCACAAUGGGAGGAAGCAAGAUGAAGAAACGCAGGGUGGGGGAAGAGGGGCAUGGGGUAGUAAAGCGAAGAAGCCUGAGACGAAGAGAGAGUGACGGUAAUGGGUAAAGAAGCACCGGCUAACUACGUG